GUGGCUGCGUGCAUGGUCUCUCUCGCUGUCUUUGGCAAUGGUAGAACUCACACUGGUGAGGUAUCAGGAUCCGGUGGUUCUAGACUUGCCAACUACCGCCCGAGGGUACAGCCGGCGGCACCAGG
rnacentral:pre_miRNA from 15 species